rnacentral:ncRNA from 1 species
UGAGUACCGUUGAGGGAAAGAGUAGCUAAGGGACGUUUGGAGAAGAGAAGAGAUACCAUCAGGCUGAAAGUAUCUCUCUAAAUCGCCUUAGUGAAAGACAUUCCUUAGGUUCCACAUCGAAAGCAAAAGGUUAGUAGGUGUUGGACGUGACAGGCGUUAACUGUUAAAGCGGAAGUAUUGUAAAUACUUCAACUAGGGUGGCAACGCGGGUAAUAUCUCCCGUCCCUAUU